UUUUAAAUUCCAUCUGCCCAAUGAAUUUUUUAAAUGGCUGCAGUAUCAAUAACUGUACAAAGGUAGCAUAAUAAUUUGUUUUUUAAUUAAAAACUUGUAUGAAAGAUUGAAUGAGAUAUAAACUUUUUCAAUUAAAUUUAUUUAAAUUAUUAUUUAAGUAAAAAAACUUAAAUAAUUUAAUUAGACGAUAAGACCCUAUAGAAUUUAAUUUAUUAAUAUAAAUUAAAAAUUAAAUUAAUCAUUUAAAUUUAAUUAAUAAAUUUAAUUGGGGUAAUUUAAAAAUUUAAUAAACUUUUUUUUAAAAUACAAUAAUUAUUGAACAAAUUAUCUUUAAUUUAAAAUUAAAAAAAUUAAUUACCUUAGGGAUAACAGCAUAA
rnacentral:rRNA from 1 species